GUGCUCGCUUCGGCAGCACCUAUACUGAAAUGGGAAUGAUACAGAGAAGAUUAGCAUGGCCUCUGUGCAAGGAUGACACGCAAAUUAGUGAAGCGCUCCACAUUAAA